GAUGAACGCUGGCGGCGUGCCUAAUACAUGCAAGUAGAACGCUGAAGGAGGAGCUUGCUCUUUCCGGAUGAGUUGCGAACGGGUGAGUAACGCGUAGGUAACCUGCCUGGUAGCGGGGGAUAACUAUUGGAAACGAUAGCUAAUACCGCAUAACAGUAGAUAUUGCAUGAUAUUUGCUUGAAAGGGGCAAUUGCUCCACUACCAGAUGGACCUGCGUUGUAUUAGCUAGUUGGUGAGGUAACGGCCCACCAAGGCGACGAUACAUAGCCGACCUGAGAGGGUGGACGGCCACACUUGGACUGGGACACGGCCCAGACUCCUACGGGAGGCAGCAGUAGGGGAUCUUCGGCAAUGGACGGAAGUCUGACCGAGCAACGCCGCGUGAGUGAAGAAGGUUUUCGGGUCGUAAAGCUCUGUUGUAAGAGAAGAACGAGUGUGAGAGUGGAAAGUUCACACUGUGACGGUAUCUUACCAGAAAGGGACGGCUAACUACGUG
rnacentral:rRNA from 1 species